ACUGAUAUGCGUGCACAACUAAUAACUAAUAUCACACGCUGGGUGCGCACCUGCCCCUAUAACUGUUCUGUCUCGCGGAGGAGCUCAUUUGUGUGCAUCUGUGUGUGAAACACGUAUAGGAAAAAAGAACGACAGAAAGAACGGCUCCCAUCGUUGAUGUUUAUGAGCCGUUCAAAAGAAUCGGCUCGUUCGCGAACGUCACAACCGUGAAGAAGAUGAGCAAGUGGUCAAAACGCAAGCAGUGUUCUGCAAUAAAUUGCAAAAAUUACCAGUCCACCAGAAGCGAUUUGGCAUUUCAUCGAUUUCCAAAGGAUGCACAAAGGUGUGCCAGGUGGGUCCAAAAUCUAAGGAAUGCAUCCCUUCAUGUCAUACCUUUGGAUCAGCUGCAUCGGACCUACAGGGUGUGCAGUGCCCAUUUCCACAGCAGCCAGUUCAAAAGACCAUCUGAUGUCCAUGGUGGGCUGAAAUGGGAUGCUGUGCCCACAAAAAUAGAGGCCCCUAACCUACCUCCCCCACUAGAUGUCGAGAGGAAGCGUAAACCUCUGAAGACACGCCAGGAGUUGCCACGUAAAAAACGCAAGCAGAGUCAUGUUCCUCCUCCCUCCAAAGACCAGCACACGGGGGAAGCUGUAGCGGGGCCUUCAUCAUGGGCGCAGUGCACUGAGGAAGCUGUAGCGGGGCCUUCAACAAUGGAAGAGGGAGACAUCAGGAUAAAGCUUUCUUCCUGUCCCUGUGUGUUUUCUAUGCCCUCUGUCUGCACUUUGCAAAAAACCAUCCAGGCUGUUGACUUCAAAACUGGUUUCAAUAACACUGUUUUAGCCACCAUGAAGUAGGCCAUGGAGACCACCAAGCCCAUCGAGAAGCUGUGUGCCAUCAUCACAGACGAGAUGUCAUUAAAAGAAGCAUUGCACUAUGACAAAGCUGCUGACAGGGUUGAGGGCUUUGAGGACUUCGGGCAGAGGUCAGCCCACCCCUUAUGUGGCCAACUACGGGAACCGUGCCAUGCUUAAUCGCCUUGGAGUGACCAAGGAACAGCCAUUCUUCAGUGUUGAUGGCAUCAGAGUGUUUUGCCUUUGGGAUCCACCUCACCUCAUAAAAAACAUCCGGAACAAUUGGCGUGACGUCAUCCAGUGUCCUUCCUCUUAACAAAUCGUCUUAAUCAAGACUGCCUGGAAAAGGCCUACUCAAGUAUCAGAGCCCGUGCGGGCAAUCGUGACAACCCAGACUGCGUUCAGUUUGAAUGUGAAUACCGAGCUGUGGCCACAGGACUGAUGUUCAGCAACUCCGAAAAGACCAGUUGUGAACAAGAUCUUGACAUGUUUCUGUUGCAGCUCAGUGCAUAUGCCUCUCAAGAGAGUCCCCUGGUCAAUGUUGACCCUGAGAGCAUUAUGGAAGAACAUGGCUACUGUAGAGUGGCCACUGAUUGUGAGCAGUGAUGCUGUCCUGAGGUCUGACAUCGGCCCACCUGAAGUUGUCCUGGAUCUACUGACUAAGCCUUCAGCACGAUCAUCUCCAGUCUUUGACCAUGAUGAAUAUGUGUUGGUCUACAUCGCUGGAUACAUCGCUGACAAGGUUCUGGGAAAAUUUACUGAUCCUGAAGGUCCCUGUAAGGAGUGCACAAUUCUUAGCACACGUGUUCCUACUGAUAGUAGAUAUACUUUCCUUAAAGACAAACAGUACACUGACCUCGUCUUAGGAGAGAAGGGUCUGAAAGUGCCCAGCACUGCCCUGGUGGACUUAUUCACAGCCCUGGAGUCUAUCUUCCAGAAAUACAUCAGCAGUGUUAUUCACAGUGUUGGCCUGGGAGAGAAAUUAUUUACUAGCAGCAUGGAGGCUGUCAGUGAGUGCCGGGAAGUAGUGCGUAGCAGGGAAGAGUGCAAGAAAUCACUUGUGUACAUGGUGAAAUUAUUUAACAGGAUAAGAAUUCAUCAUGUAUUGCGCACCCAAAAUCGGUGCAUCUCUCAGCCUAAUCAGAAACGCGACAGAAAAUUCUUAAAGUUAACUCAUCAGUAAAUUAUUGGCUCCUCACAGACUCUUUAAUGUCAAAAUCAUCCUUUUCCACAUCUACUCCUUUCGUGUUACAUUAACACUUCCAUUCUAUGUCAAUGCCUCUUCUCUCACAAAAAGAAAAAAAAAAUGCAAACAAACUUCUCAUACUCAAAUGCACACACAAAAGAUGGUGGUGUCUGAUUAAUUACUGAGAUGUUAUGGCACCACUUCCAUUUUAGUACUGUUUAUAGUUCAUGUGUGCACUUGCUAGAUUGCACAUCUUUUUUUUUUUUUUUUUUUUACCUUUCCAUCUGUAAUAGGACAUUGUUUUUGUUCUUGCCAUUGAAACGUUCACUGUGUGCACUUUCACUAAGAUGUUGAAAAACAAGUUGUUAAUAAUUUUGUGAAAUUCUAGGUAAAAGAUGAACUGUCUUUAGAAAUGCUCAUUUAUAAUUUUAUUUAUUUAUUUUUCCAAAUCAUAUAUAUGGUGAU